UACGGGAGGCAGCAGUGGGGAAUAUUGCACAAUGGGCGCAAGCCUGAUGCAGCCAUGCCGCGUGUAUGAAGAAGGCCUUCGGGUUGUAAAGUACUUUUCAGUCGUGAGGAAGGUGUUAAGGUUAAUAACCUUAGCAAUUGACGUUAGCGACAGAAGAAGCACCGGCUAACUCCGUGCCAGCAGCCGCGGUAAUACGGAGGGUGCGAGCGUUAAUCGGAAUUACUGGGCGUAAAGGGCACGCAGGCGGUUAAUUAAGUUGGAUGUGAAAUCCCCGGGCUUAACCUGGGAAUGGCAUUCAAGACUGGUUAGCUAGAGUCUUGUAGAGGGGGUAGAAUUCCAUGUGUAGCGGUGAAAUGCGUAGAGAUGUGGAGGAAUACCGGUGGCGAAGGCGGCCCCUGGCAAAGGACUGACGCUCAUGUGCGAAAGCGUGGGGAGCAAAC
rnacentral:rRNA from 1 species